GCAUAUCUGAGUGCCAAGGUAAGCUCUCUUUCUUCUCUUCCUCUUUAUUUUUGUUUCGCACAUCCAAAAAAAUGAAAAAAAUAACAGAGAAAACAAAUAAAAAAUGAAGAAAAUCACCUUCAAAAUCUGUUUUUUCUUUUCUUUUGCAUUUUCUUUUUAUUUUUUCUAUCAAAAAUUUGCUAACCCCCUAACAUAAAUCGAUUCCCUUUAUAUAGCCCACCCUCAUUUUACAAGUUUUUUGCUGUGUAUAUCCUCUUAGUGCUAUUCGUGGUUUGCAGGUGUAUGGGCGUUGUGCGGGAGUUGCUACGACGUGGGGCGUUGUGGCGAGGGAAGAACGUGGGCAGUUGCGGCGUAGGGCGACAUUCGCGGAGGCAUGCGAGGGAGUCGUGCGGCGCGUCCUAGGGUUUCUGUGUUUGGCUAAUUUGGGCCACACUGCAUUUGGGCUGAUGUAAUUGGGCUUUUUGGGUUUUAUAAUUUGGUCAUUGGGCUGGGGUGUUUUAUUGGAUUUGUAAUUGUCUUUAAUUUUAGUUUUGAUUUGGGCCCCGGCUGGAAAAGAAAAAGUUUCACACGCUGGUGGUCACCCACGUAGUCCAACAAUGCUUGGGAUAUAGACAGACGAGGGGCUGUUCGAAGGAGCCUAAGACGGUGAUGCCUCAAGGAGCAGUUCACAACCUUGUCCUCGUUACGGAGGGCAUCUUAGACCCAAGCAGGCACUCGAUCGUCGUGUUUAAAGCGAACGUCUGACCUGGGGUUUUGGUAAGCACAAAUAGCCCGGUAGAAAUGGGGUUUAGCGCAGAAGUAGAGGGUUUAGCGCGGUUGUGGGGGAAGAAAUAGUGGAAGUAAAAAAAUGAAUAAUAAAAAUAAUAAUAAUUAUGGUC
rnacentral:lncRNA from 1 species